AGGGGUUUCCCCCAUGGGAUUAGGGGACCCCUCAUAGGAUCACCCCCUCCUUGGGGUGAGGAGUCUCCCUGUAGCAUUAAGGACCCCUCACGGGGUGAUGGGUCCCCCCAUGGUGUCAGUGCCCCCCCCCCCCCAUGUCUCACCUGCCAUCAAAGCGAUGCUUCAAGAAGUCAAAGAGUGCUUUC